rnacentral:rRNA from 1 species
AUUGAACGCUGGCGGCAGGCCUAACACAUGCAAGUCGAACGAGUGGCGGACGGGUGAGUAAUGUCUGGGAAACUGCCUGAUGGAGGGGGAUAACUACUGGAAACGGUAGCUAAUACCGCAUACCAUCGGAUGUGCCCAGAUGGGAUUAGCUAGUAGGUGGGGUAAAGGCUCACCUAGGCGACGAUCCCUAGCUGGUCUGAGAGGAUGACCAGACACACUGGAACGGAGACACGGUCGAGACUCCUACGGUAGGCGGAAGGGGGGAAUGUUGCACAAUGGGCGCAAGCCGGAUGCAGCCAUGCCGCGUGUAUGAAGAAGGACUUCGGGUUGUAAAGUACUUUCAGCUGGGAGGCGUUACCCGCAGAAGAAGCACCGGCUAACUCCGUGCCAGCAGCCGCGGUAAUAC